CACGACGAUGCGGCACGGCACAGGGUCCGCCGGCGUUCCGGGCGUCGCGUCGUCCGUCGGCGUUCCCGUCGUCGCGUCGUCC
rnacentral:tRNA from 2 species